UACAGGGGUGGCAAGCGUUGUUCGGAAUUACUGGGCGUAAAGGGUGCGCAGGCGGUCUCGUAAGCUGGGUGUGAAAGCCCCGGGCUUAACCUGGGAAUGGCAUUCAGGACUGCGAGGCUUUGAGUGCGGCAGAGGGAGGUGGAAUUCCACGUGUAGCAGUGAAAUGCGUAGAGAUGUGGAGGAACACCGAUGGCGAAGGCAGCCUCCUGGGCCAGCACUGACGCUCAUGCACGAAAGCGUGGGGAGCAAACAGG
rnacentral:rRNA from 1 species